rnacentral:rRNA from 1 species
AUGGGGUACUACCUUGCCGAUGAUAUCUAUCCUCAGUGGCGGUGUUUGUCAAGACCAUAUGCGAUCCCCAUGAAAAAAAUAAUGCUACUUUGCAACAAUGCAAGAAGGAGCUACGAAGGAUGUGGAGAGAGCAUUCGUAGUGAAGCUCAUUGGCGUAUUAUUUGUGGAGUUGCAAUGAUAUGGGAAUUGAAGACAUUGUGGCAGUGGCAGCUAAUGACAUGUUGUCUCAUUUUGCACCACAUGAUUGUCGAGGAUGAGGGUGAAGGGGUAGCCCGAAUGCAUGAUUUUGAGAAGCCCGGAGUACAAGUCCGC